rnacentral:rRNA from 1 species
CCUACGGGAGGCAGCAGUAGGGAAUCUUCCGCAAUGGGCGAAAGCCUGACGGAGCAACGCCGCGUGAGUGAAGAAGGAUUUCGGUUCGUAAAGCUCUGUUGUUAGGGAAGAAUGAUUAUGUAGUAACUAUACAUAGUAGAGACGGUACCUAACCAGAAAGCCACGGCUAACUACGUGCCAGCAGCCGCGGUAAUACGUAGGUGGCAAGCGUUGUCCGGAAUUAUUGGGCGUAAAGCGCGCGCAGGUGGUUUAAUAAGUCUGAUGUGAAAGCCCACGGCUCAACCGUGGAGGGUCAUUGGAAACUGUUAAACUUGAGUGCAGGAGAGAAAAGUGGAAUUCCUAGUGUAGCGGUGAAAUGCGUAGAGAUUAGGAGGAACACCAGUGGCGAAGGCGGCUUUUUGGCCUGUAACUGACACUGAGGCGCGAAAGCGUGGGGAGCAAACAGGAUUAGAUACCCGAGUAGUC